rnacentral:rRNA from 1 species
GUGCCAGCAGCCGCGGUAAGACGAACCGUGCGAACGUUGUUCGGAUUCACUGGGCUUAAAGGGCGCGUAGGCGGACCAUCAAGUCAGGGGUGAAAGCCCCCGGCCCAACCGGGGAAGUGCCUCUGAUACUGACGGUCUCGAGCGGGAUAGGGGCAGCUGGAACUUCCGGUGGAGCGGUGAAAUGCGUAGAUAUCGGAAGGAACGCCGGUGGCGAAAGCGAGCUGCUGGAUCCCUCCUGACGCUGAGGCGCGAAAGCCAGGGGAGCGAACGGGAUUAGAUACCCCGGUAGUCC